GGCUUUUCUGGGAGGUGGGGGAAGGGACAGAGCCGCAUGCUCUGUCCCUUCCCCCACCUCCCGCAAAAGCC
rnacentral:miRNA from 1 species